GAGUGGGAGUGACAGAAGAGAGUGAGCACAGUUGAGCAUGUACGAGGGUGACGUACUUGCUGAAGUGUGCUCACUCUCUUCAUGUCACGCCUCUC
rnacentral:pre_miRNA from 1 species